GCCACAUACAGGGGCAAGCGGCAGCACUGGUUGGCGCCCACAAGAUCUGGUCCCUUGACCUUCGUGCCAUCUUCACUGGUCCUAGCAGCUCACGCCGGUGGCCUAGCGGCUUGUUUAUUGUUGCCUUUGCAGCGGUAGCAGCUCUUGCCUCUGUUCAGGAACUGCCACAAACUAACCUUGGGUUCAGGUAAUGCUCAAUUCUAGAAUCUAUUUUCUAGCAACAGCAGCAAGGGAUUGCUAGGUUCACUAACCAUAAGUAUAUAGCAUAAUUGCUUCUGAUAGUUUAUUUUUUUUCUAAAUUCUAAGUUAUAUUGUUCCAUAUCUUUUCUUACUUUGGUAUUCUAAGUUAUAUUGUUCCAUAUCUUUUCUUACUUUGGUAUUCUAAGUUAUAUUGUUCCAUAUCUUUUAGACUGCAAGGUCAUGGCUUGGGUCGGACAUGCUAACAUUCAGUUGGUUUGUGUGCAGUUCAGUGUUUUUUGGAGCCUACUAGGAUGCCUGUGAUAUCACUAUAGCAUGUCACCCAUUUCUGAAAGCCUAAAUCAUUUUUAUAUUAUAUUGUUUGGCUUAUUUUCAUACCCUUUGUCUUUAAACCUGCAAUUACGAUGGUCCAAGCUGUCAUUUAUUCUUGCAGUUGUUUGAGUAAACAUCUAAUAUUUGGUUAUUUCUCUAACUUGGAGAUGAUCUGUAAAUAAGGAUGUCAACUACUUAAAACUAAAAAAUCAUAAAAAAAUUGAGGCACUUAAUUAGUUGACAGUUGAAGAAUCCAUAGAGGAGGAUUUUUCUUUAUAAUGAAGACAAUUGCACCAUUAUUGUUUAAUUGUGCGGCACACUGUUGGCACUUGGCACCCAGUUGAAACCUGCGGCACACUGUUGGCAUCAGGAAGAUCGAUACCUGUUGUUUCAGUCAUUGCACUACCACAUCUUGUAAGGUAACUAACUCUUGUCACGAUCGCUGCAUUUGAGGAUGAAUCGAGAAGGUCGAAAUAAGUCUGACUGAAAUUGCUCUGAAGUUGGCCUUGUAGUUUAAAGAGGUUCUUGAUAUCACGGAUAUUUUUAUUGUUUGCCAUUCCAUUACAGUGGGGGUUCCUUUCACUCUGUGCCAAAUUUGCAAUUAAGACAGAAGGUGUGUUCCUAGAACCUGUUGGAAGUAAUUCCCAAUUUGGAAUGAUUUGCAUGUCAAACCAUAAGGUUCUGUAGUUCCUCAUCUUCAGUGAGUAUGUUAGAACUAAAAUCUUUGCCGCAAGGUAUAUCUUUUGUUAUUGUUCCUCUUCUCAGAUUGUUGUGUUAUUUCAGAUCAUUUCAAAUCUAUAUACAGAAUAGAUGCAUAUCUUUACAACUCUGCAAUGUUAACUCUGUCCUUUAAAAGUAGUGCCGUUUAAAACAAUUGCAAAAUAAGAAAUGUGGAUUACCCCCUACGGUCUAUGGCCAUCAGGAAAUCAAACUGUUAUGAUUUACCAUUUGCUAAAUUUGGUGUAGCCUGGUUCAAUUUUUGUGUCCUCUUUUAUUAGUAUGCAAACAGGGCCUUUUGUGAUAAUUGUUAUCUCAAGAACCCAGUCCAGUAGCUAUAUUGCCAAUUUAUAUGCUGUGAAUUGUAAUUGCCUCCACAUAAAUAGUUCAUGAUAUUAUGCCUAAAUGCGACUGUUAUUUUUGUCUACAGGGUGCCAAAUUGAAUAGCUGCCGCAGGGCUUGCACGGGUCCUGGAGAAGCUUGGGAUAUAUUGCGACGUUGAGCAGCAGUGAACGGAGGAUCAUUCAAGCACCACACUAAAUUACGUGAAUGCAUGAAGAUUACAAUGGGAAUAUGGUAGGAGACUAGGUAUCUAAGUUAGUGGCCGUAAAGCAUGCAGGUAACUGUUAAUGAAUAGGUGCUGCGAGAUGUAAAUGAAAUGUGGACUGUGAGAAUAGGUUCUACCCUGAUGUAUAAAUGAAAUGUGGAUUGUGAUAAUGACCUUGACCGCAAGAAAGCAUAUCUUUUCUCCAACUCAAAUUAGCUGUUAUUGGCCACUUUUGUUGACAGUUUUAGAAACCAGUUUGAUUAUCAAUGAUUCAAUAUUAUGUACA